CCUACGGGAGGCAGCAGUGGGGAAUAUUGCGCAAUGGGCGAAAGCCUGACGCAGCGACGCCGCGUGAGGGAUGAAGGUCUUCGGAUCGUAAACCUCUGUCAGCAGGGAAGAACGGUCACUGUGCUAAUCAGCAGUGAAUUGACGGUACCUGCAAAGGAAGCACCGGCUAACUCCGUGCCAGCAGCCGCGGUAAUACGGAGGGUGCGAGCGUUAAUCGGAAUUACUGGGCGUAAAGCGCUCGUAGGCGGUAUGUCAAGUCAAGUGUGAAAGCCCCGCGCUCAACGUGGGAACUGCCUUUGAAACUGGCAAACUGGAGUGUGUGAGAGGAUAGUGGAAUUCCAGGUGUAGGAGUGAAAUCCGUAGAGAUCUGGAGGAACAUCAGUGGCGAAGGCGACUAUCUGGCACAUAACUGACGCUGAGGAGCGAAAGCGUGGGUAGCAAACAGGAUUAGAUACCCCAGUAGUC
rnacentral:rRNA from 1 species